GGGAUUUGCAAUACUCUUUUACUAAAGGUCCCUUUUAAAAAGAACCAAAAGACUUGAAUGUUUAUUCGGUCCAUAGGAAAAUUGCAUAAAGUGAUGGAAACCAGAGUUUGAGAAAGUUACUUUUUAAAUUCCACAGCAAUUUUCCCAUUUCCUUUUGAAGAUACACCUUUCAUGAGUUCCGGAAAAGUGUUCCAGAGGGAGAAGGAUAUUCCAAUGCUGGUAGUAUCCAAUGCAGCAGUGGUGAUGGCGGGGGUAAUUCUGC
rnacentral:lncRNA from 11 species